UCCGCGCCUGGAGUCCGCCUCGUGGUUCUGAGUCCGGGUCGGAUUCCGUGCCUGGAGU
rnacentral:pre_miRNA from 1 species